UCCUUCGCGUCCCCGACCUCAUCUCCUUAUCCAAUCUGUGUUUAGAAAAGUUUCCGAAGCUCAACAUUCACAGAGAGCUCGACUCAGACCCCCAACAAUAUCCUCUACAGCGUCGCCACCAAUCCGUAACUCCAAUUCCCCAUUCUCUCAAUUUCAAUUCUUCAUCUUCUUUUGCUUGUCCCCUCUAAAUUUCUUCUUCUGCUCCUAAUCUUAUCCCAAGCCCUAAAAGAUCCCCGACAAUUUCAGAUUUGGGAUUCAACGAAUUCGUUCUCAAUUUCGUUUCUUUGUGUGAAUUUCGUGACAGAUCGAAGAAAAUGGUGACAUUUGAGCUCUACAUGAGGUCGGAAUGUGUCUGACUGAGACUUUGGAUGAGAUGGUUCAGAACGGGACUCUCAGUCCUGAGCUUGCCAUUCAGGUUCUGGUUCAGUUCGAAAAAGGAGACCCGGCCAGAACUCCUCCGUCCAGCCAUCUCUCGGCGGCGCACCACCGGCGUUUGACUCAUCUUCUCAGCGCCAACAUGCCUAUGGUGGUGGACCAUACAUGCACAGAUAGUGGGGAGAGAUUCGAAAUCCAAAAGCCUGAAGCUUUUCCGACGGAUUGGCAGCGUUUCCGGCGACUCUGGUCACAAUUGUCGAUGCGUUUCCUGUCUAUAUUUUUUUGGCUUCAACCCUCCAGGAUUUCACCAGUUGCUAUUGAAAUGGAUUAUGCCUUGGGAAUUUGUUAGGGUGCAUUUGAGAUGGCGUGGUUAUUAAUUAUCUCUUCUAUGAUUGUAAUAUGGAUAGCUUUUCUGUUCAAAAUUCUCCAUGGUUCAUACUCACCUUCCAAGGGUGCUUUCUUGAAUGAUUCUAAUAAUGGUGGCAGUGCCAAGAAGAGAAAUGUGUUGCUGGUUGUUUCCCACCCAGAUGAUGAGUCCAUGUUCUUCACUCCAACAAUAAACUACCGCACUUCAAGAGGGCAUUAUAUUCACAUCUUAUGCUUGUCAAUAUAACACGUUUUCAAGCCAAGCUGAUCAAGACUGUUAAAUGAUGUCAGUCGCUGUGAGAUUGAGUUGAAGAUGUCAUCUGAACGUGUCCAACUCAGUUAUCCAAAACCAGAAAGAGUACAAAUAGCAGAGGAGGCAGGUGAUAAUGAUGAUGGAGAAAAAGGAAUAGAUGCCGAGUGUUGGCACGGCUCAGUGAAAUAUUUCAACAGGGCAGGCUAAUUGCUGAAACAGACAUUGCCAGACUCCAUUUAAAUUCACUCCUACAAGCAAGCUCAACGAAACAAGUCCAGAAGGCCGGUGUAAGAUUGAUCUGCCGCUGCGUAUUUGUGAAAUGCUUGGGAUGCUUACCAUGAAGAAUGAAGAGGCAUAUAGUGGAUGCCUUGUAAUGUCACUACGUCAGGGUAUAUUUAAAGGCAUGAAUUCUCAUUUCUAUCCUUUCCUCGAAGAAGCUGUAGACUCAGUUGGGUUUUUGACAAGCAUCAAAGGAAGCGGAUAAGGAGAAGCAGAAGAGGGAGUCUGAAAAAAUGGGAGAUGCCAUGAAAUCUUUGGAGAACAGAACCUUGGAUUCGAAAGGGAGAUUGAUAUCCUUGUUGCUUUGGAUGAGAUGAAGUCCAUGAAGUUCUAGCAUCCAAUUUCUGCUUGGUUGAACCGUUUGCUACACUUGCAGUUUCAGAGGCUCUUUCCGAGGAUUUGCAGGUGGGUCUAUGAAGGAGUCAUUGAUGAUCGUUAUGGUGAAUGUUUCAUUGCUGAGAACAAAUCUCUUCAAAAGUGGGAGAGGAGAGGCAACAGUCAAUAUACCCAAGCAGACAUAGAUAUGAUGCGAAAUGAAUUGGCAAAGUAUGUCGUGAAGGAGUAUGUGUAGAAGCUAAAGGAAAGCAUAAGAGGAAGUAGGUUGUUGCUGAAGGAAAGCAUCAUUUUUGUGCUUCUCUGCUGGCACAAUAUUCAUGCACUGUGUGGCAUGUUUUGUAACAAAUAGUUUGUAUUUGUAUCAGCUUUUGAUGUCCCAAGUAGAUGGGCAUGCAUUUGAAUGUUUUUACACUUUCAAUGUUGGCUUGGAUGAUUGAGAAAUUCUCUCUUUUCACAUUUGAAUGCGUUUCUUCAAAUAGUAUCAGUUGGAUUACUUAUUUUA